AUAUAUAGAGAGAGAGAGAGAGAGAGAGAGAGAGAGAGAAAUACAUUUAAAAUAUAUCAUCAAACAAAAGUAUGCAAUGGGAUUCCAUUUGAAACAUAAACUACACCGAGUACACAUUGUAAAUCUGUAACGAUUCAA